UACUCAAGCCUUAGCAAUGGUGGAUGCCC
rnacentral:piRNA from 1 species